CAGCACCAGAGACCAGCAACCACCAUACCAACCAACAGGCAACAUUGGAGCAGUCUCUGCAAUCUCCCUCACAGGAGAUGAGCAGCUCCAGCCCUGACAGUCAGAAGUCCCCAUGACAGGAACAGUGUGAGAGCACCCAGUGCUGAGAGCUCCACUUACCAGUGGGACGGUGAGACAGGGACCCACCGCUGACACGUCCCACAUCAGACAGGGAGGUGGAGGCCCCCAAAGGGAGGGAGCCAGCAUGCCUGCUGUGUCAGCCAUCAGAGGCUGACCCGGACAUCUGUAGAGAAAACCUUCAGAAAAAUGAGUUCUGUG